GGGGACAGGAAGUACUUGCCCAACAAAACUCAGGAGGAUAAUUAAAAAGGGAAAGGUGGCUAGGCUGGAGAUCAGGGACUUCAGCCUCAGCCAGGACCAUGGAGACAUCCAGAGAAGUGGAGAGGAUGGGAAGGAUAACCCCAGGAUAACCCCAGCCCAGUGCUGAUGGCUGCCAUGCUCUCCUGUGACUGUGACCAGCAUAGGGCUCCCAUGAAAUUCAUCCAAUUCAGCAGGGCAAGAGGAAAACAGAAGGCCCUGGAGGGCUGAGCUUUUUCAUUCCUCAGCCCCUUCACCUCCCACGGUUUGCGUACUGCUUUUGUAAGGCCUUUGCUUGGCCAGGCUGGACUGCUUUGUGACUCUGCCUGUUCUGUCUGGACAAGAAAUAAAGGCUUAUGGAUUGGA